CUGGUGCCAGGCAACUUGGAUCUAGGCCCACAGUGAAGAGGAUCCUGGGGCCAGAGGGGAGACGCGAGGACGAGGUAGCACAGAUGCCUGAAGAACAAGAGCUCUCCUAUGGACUCAUACCCUUUAGGAGCCCAAAUUGAGCAGGUCCUUGUGAGUCCACUGCACGCUGACCCUAUUCCAAGUUCAUGGCUCCAACAUGAGAAACACAGAAAUGUAUAUUGAAGACUCAGAGGCGGUGAGGGAGCCAGCAGCUGGCGAGAUGGAGAAGGGCUCCUCCUCAGAGAAAGCUGUCUGCAUACCAGG
rnacentral:lncRNA from 1 species